rnacentral:rRNA from 1 species
UACGUAGGAAGCAAGCGUUAUCCGGAUUUACUGGGCGUAAAGAGAGCGUAGGCGGUUCUUCAAGUCGGAUGUAAAAUCUCCCGGCUUAACCGGGAGGGACCAUUCGAUACUGUUGGGCUAGAGAGCAGCAGGGGGAGGUGGAAUUCCCGGUGUAGUGGUGAAAUGCGUAGAUAUCGGGAGGAAUACCAGUGGCGAAGGCGGCCUCCUGGGCUGUUGCUGACGCUGAGGCUCGAAAGCGUGGGGAGCGAACAGGAUUAGAUACCCCCGUA